rnacentral:rRNA from 1 species
UACGGAGGAUCCAAGCGUUAUCCGGAUUUAUUGGGUUUAAAGGGUGCGUAGGCGGAAUUGUAAGUCAGUGGUGAAAGCCCUUCGCUUAACGAAGGAACUGCCAUUGAUACUGCAAAUCUUUGAGUACAUUUGAUGUGGGCGGAAUGUGUCAUGUAGCGGUGAAAUGCUUAGAUAUGACACAGAAACACCGAUUGCGAAGGCAGCUCACAAAAACUGU